rnacentral:lncRNA from 1 species
CCGCUGCUGGGUUUCAGAACUGGGGAGCAAGGCCCAGGCUGAGGGAGACCAAAGGGCCCAGACAAGCAGAAGGGCUACAUUUUCCCAAAGGGAGCCCACAGGGACAGAAAACCAGGUCCAGUUCCUUGGCCCUGGUGAGAAUCCUGGAAAAAGGAUCAGGAAAGGGGCCUGGCAGGGACAGGGACCACAGGAGGGCCUAAGAAAG